CCCUGCCGGCGCCCGGUUUUCGCCGCGGCGGCUGGCCUCACACCGAGUAGACGCCCGGUUCGCCCGCGCUCGGCGUCCUUUCCUUCCCCGGUCAUCUGCUUGGCUUUCCCUGGCCGGUGCUCCGAUCCUUCAGGGGAACUGUCCGCCCCCCCCCCCCCCCCCCCCCCCCCCCCGCUUCGGUGUCCUUCCGCCUGUCACCAGGUCCCCGUUCCCCGGGGGAUGGCGGCGGUUACUUGUGCUGCUGCCCACCCACCCCACACCACCACUACCCCUCCCUCUCCGGGCCCCGUUCCCGACGCCGCCAGGGCCGGUCGCCCCGCUCAGCUGCCGCGCGGGGCCCGCCCGCCGUUCUCCCGCUCUGCGAGGGGACCUGCGCGCCCCGCCGCACCGGCCGGGCUGCGGGCGGGAGGCGGGAAGCCCCUCGCCUCGCCCGGCUCGGCAGCCGUUCCCCGGGGACCGCUUCCCCCGCCACCCGCGCGGGGCCGGCGGAGGCGUCCCGCCGCCACCAGGGAGCGCUCGCUCUCCCGCCCCGAACCGGCUGCCCGCAGCGGGCGGCCCCGGGGGCGCCGGGCUCCCGCGUUGCCCGUCCCGGUCGGCCGGCGAGGAACGUGGCGGCUUCGGCUCCGCGCUCGUCUCCCUGCCGGGUCACUGCAGGUUUGGGAGCCAGCAUUUCUUUGUGGAAACGUCUCAUCCUCCUCCUGGGAUCUGCUGAGUGCCUGUACGCGCUUGGGGCAGAGCAGCCGGUCCCCGGUCAAAGUAACAUCCAGUCAGACUUUGCAUGGCAUGAGGCAGAAACAGGAUUUUCUAGCAUGGAGCACUCAGGUUUUGACAUGAGCAGCAGAGGGAGAGUGUUAAGAACUUGACUGCUGUAGCUUCAUUUUGUGUUCCAGUGCGACCCACCAGAUGAAAGAGGGUAUGAUUCAGUGUAGCCUGGGUUCAGUGUGAUCCAGAAAUAGGAGUUUGGGAAAGCCACAAUUCAGAAAAUGCUUUAAGUCACUUUCAAGCUGUGAGGGAAAGAGGGCCGCAGAUGGAGCGGUGGCUGCCGUAUUGUGGAUGAGACCCUCUGGCAGGAGAAGAGACAGCAACAGCCAUCGGCCAUCAGCACUGAGAAGUGGCGUGUGGCAAGGCUGGUUUGACAUAGGCUCUGGAAGUCCCAUAUCUGGGGAGCUGAAAGGAAAAGCUCAGCACAGACAGGCGAGGGACAUCUCGGUACCAAAAUCGCCUCAACUCUGCCAGAAGGACUGGGGAUAGAACGUAUGUCAGAUGAGGAACCUGCAGCAUCUUUGGUAGAAGCCUGCAACAGUGUCUGGCGUGGCAGCAAAAGAACACGUGUUGUUUGGGGCAAAUAGGUGUUUUUUGGGAUGAUUCCAUUACUCAGAGAUGUCCGUGACAUCAGGCUGACUCUCCCAUCUGUGUUUAGUUUAUCUGCAUGAGCAUUUUGACAUGGGCAAAGGAGGAGGUGAAAAGGUGAACUUGGAUCAAAUAGCUGAGAGCAACAGUGCCAGUGCUUGACAAGUUUCAUGCUCACUUUUACCUAGUCUGGCAGAAUUAGGCAUGUAUCUUGCGGUCAGUUUGGGAACAACGUGCUUACACAGGGCCCUGUCUUAGAAAGCAGUAAAGGGAAGAGUUUUGCCGUGACUGUUGACAUGCUGGUUGGGAUGGGGUUUUGAGGAAGAACAUUUGUGAGGAUAGGUGAGGAACCCAGUCCCACUUUUCAUUUAGACCAGUACAAACCCUCUUCUGCCCUGUGAAUGUCGUCGUGCUGUGAGUGAAUAACCCUUAGUGUUGUAAAUAGGUCCUUUACACUGCUCUUGGAUUACAUAAACACUGACGAAUGAUACUUGACCCAUAUAAUGGCCAAACUGACAUAAAAAAAUUGACCACCACAGAUCAGGUGACAGGGAAUCCAUAGUGAUAACAAUGUUCAGUGGUCUCUUGCACCUGUCCUUGAGUGCUGCAAGAUUACCCUGAUUUCUUGCAAUUUCUUGUUGGGCUUUAUAUGAACCUGUGCACUAGCUGAACCCCACCUGCCUCAGAGAGUGCUCUUUGGCAUCUUUUUCAGAUGUUGUUCUUGCACCACACCUACCACGUAAAUGAGAGCUAGUUUUCUACAGACAAAUGGCGCAAUACCUUCUAUUCCUACCGUGACUAGUGAUUUAUGUGGAAGGAAGCCAUCGUUCUGCUCCAAUAAAUUCUACAAGAGCUAAAUACUAAUAUAUACUAAGGAUUCAUGUGGUGUUACGGUAACCUCUGGAGAUAAAAUUAAGCAUCCUUAA